AUUGAACGCUGGCGGCAUGCUUUACACAUGCAAGUCGAACGGUAACAGGCCUUCGGGUGCUGACGAGUGGCGAACGGGUGAGUAAUGCAUCGGAACGUGCCCAGAGGUGGGGGAUAACGCAGCGAAAGCUGUGCUAAUACCGCAUGUGAUCUGAGGAUGAAAGCGGGGGACCAGGCAGCAAUGUUUGGCCUCGCGCCUUUGGAGCGGCCGAUGUCAGAUUAGGUAGUUGGUGGGGUAAAGGCCUACCAAGCCGACGAUCUGUAGCUGGUCUGAGAGGACGACCAGCCCCACUGGGACUGAGACACGGCCCAGACUCCUACGGGAGGCAGCAGUGGGGAAUUUUGGACAAUGGGCGCAAGCCUGAUCCAGCAAUGCCGCGUGCGGGAAGAAGGCCUUCGGGUUUUAAACCGCUUUUGUACGGAACGAAAAGGCUCUGGCUAAUACCUGGGGCUGAUGACGGUACCGUAAGAAUAAGCACCGGCUAACUACGUG
rnacentral:rRNA from 1 species